UAGGGAAUAUUGGACAAUGGGGGAAACCCUGAUCCAGCGACGCCGCGUGAGGGAUGAAGGCCUUCGGGUUGUAAACCUCUGUUGUUAGGAAAGAAGCCGGGUGCAUAACCCGGUGACGGUACCUAACGAGGAAGCCCCGGCUAACUACGUGCCAGCAGCCGCGGUGAGACGUAGGGGGCAAGCGUUGUCCGGAAUCACUGGGCGUAAAGGGCGCGUAGGCGGUUACUCAAGUCCGAUGUGAAAAGUCACGGCUCAACUGUGAUCGUGCAUCGGAUACUGGGUUGACUUGAGGUCGGUAGAGGCAAGUGGAACUAGCGGUGUAGCGGUGAAAUGCACAGAUAUCGCUAGGAACGCCGGUGGCGAAGGCGACUUGCUGGGCCGCACCUGACGCUGAGGCGCGAAAGCUAGGGGAGCGAACCGG
rnacentral:rRNA from 1 species